rnacentral:rRNA from 1 species
AGUGAACGCUGGCGGUAGGCCUAACACAUGCAAGUCGAACGGCAGCACAGUAAGAGCUUGCUCUUACGGGUGGCGAGUGGCGGACGGGUGAGGAAUACAUCGGAAUCUACUUUUUCGUGGGGGAUAACGUAGGGAAACUUACGCUAAUACCGCAUACGACCUACGGGUGAAAGCAGGGGAUCUUCGGACCUUGCGCGAUUGAAUGAGCCGAUGUCGGAUUAGCUAGUUGGCGGGGUAAAGGCCCACCAAGGCGACGAUCCGUAGCUGGUCUGAGAGGAUGAUAGCCCACCAUGGAACAGAGACAGGGCCAGAACCCAUACGGGAGGAAGAAGGGGGGAAUAUUGGACAAUGGGCGAAAGCCGGAACCCGCCAUCCCGGGGGGGGAAAAAAGGCCUUCGGGUUGUAAAGCCCUUUUGUGGGGAAAAAAAAGCAGGAGGUUAAAACCCCGCUGUUUGGGCGGGACCAAAAGAAUAAGCACCGGCUGAAUUAGU